UCCCGGGUAGUGUAAUGGCAGCACGCGGGCUUUUGGUGCCUGUAGGUAGGGGUUCGAAUCCUCUCCCGGGAG
rnacentral:tRNA from 2 species